rnacentral:tRNA from 1 species
UUAGCUGAAGCCAAAAUAAAGAGGCAUUUUAUUGUUAAUAAAAUUAAUGGUAAAUUUACCCAGCUAAA